rnacentral:lncRNA from 1 species
AUAGAUAUAUAUCUUCAAGCAACACAGCAAAGAAAAGACUUCCAAUUUUUUUGGUCAAAUUACACUUUUUUUCUCUAACUUUUAGAUAAUUACAUUAUCUCCUCUUAACUUAAAUAUCUUCUUUAAUUUGAAUCUUCCAAUUUAAUCCCACAUUAAUUUACAUAUUUAUGCUUGCACCCAUAACUUUAAAUAUUAACAUUUAUAUCCCCAAAUCUUAAUGACCACCAUAAAAUUAAGUCAUUAACUACUAAAAAUCAAGAGACGGGUCUCACACGGGCAUAGUACAUUAAAAUUUCAGCACAAACGUGGUGAUGAACUGAGUUGGGCUGAGCAACUGUUUGGGAGACAUGGGGUACGGCAAGACACGUUUAUGUGAGCAAAUUUUAAAUAAUUUUAGAAUUUUAACAGAUUAAACUCAUUCAUAAAAAACAUAAAAAAUAUGACACAUGCACGAUUAGACACGACACGUGACACAAAUGGGCUAGGCCAAUAAGCCAUGCCGGCUCUAAAUUUUUAUCAAGCGGGCACGACUCAGCACGACAAGCACAAAAAUAAAUGAGUCGGGCUUUUAACACCUCUAGCUCAUGCCAUAUUAUGAAUAGGCAAAGAUGACUGAAUCAACCAAAUUGGUUGCUUCUUUAAGCUUGGUCUCUCUUAAUUUGGAAGUUAUCAGGGUUCCCUCUGGACGAUACAUUAGCAAUGUUCUGCCUAUUUUAAAUUAUGGUUAUUCAACUUAUUCCUAUUGUCUAAAAAUGGAAGUCACGGUAGCUUGGCACCAGUUUUCCAUUUUAUCUUCAUUUUUUGGAAAAAAAGAAGAAGCAGAAAUUGUGUUCAGAAAACUAUUUUAGAGAAAUCCUCCGAAAACAACCCACAAAGAAUGUUUCCACACAAAAAUAAAACCUUAUGAAAACAAUGUAUGUUUUCAAACUUUUCACCGUUUUCUAUUUCCAAAAACACAAAUAAAAACGAAAAAGAAAACAGCAAAAACAAUUCCAAACAUUUGAACUUGCAACACGGUAAUGAGAUUGUGAUCAUGAUUUGACUUCUUUUUUUUUGAUUGCCUAGGGCCUAGUCCAAUUGGCUCCGAUAGUCUAAUAUGUGACCUUAACCAAAUAAACCUCUAAUGGCUCUAAAAACCUCUAGUAGCUCUAAAAGAAUUCAAAUUGGCAACUAUUUGAAAAUAAUACCAUGAUUUUUACCAGCUGAGCUACCCUUGACUCGCACUUGGUUUUGGAAAACAUAGAGAGGUUCAUAAGUUUCAAAAAUCUAGUUCUCCCAAUUGCUUCUUGGUCAGCUUUUGCUUACAAUGUUUCACCCAAAACUAAUUCACACAAUUUCUUCAAAGAUGCAACUCAAGAAAGCCAUUACUUGAAAAUACAAAAAGCAGGAGUCACUUUGUUGCCAAGAAUCACGUCAGAAAGAUGAAAAAUUAAGGGUAAAUUAUAUGGGAAUUUUCGAUGCCAAUACCAAUUUAAGUUAAUACAAAACUGUAAUUAAUUCCAAAUAUCACUUGUAUUGUUGCUAAAGAAUUUUCCAAUCCCAACCUCGCCUCGUAUUCACCUCAAAAGAGAAAUUUCUUGAGAGGAACUCGUCGCCAAGAGAACCCUAAGAGAAGGCACUCGCUUAUAAACAAACAAAGCUAGUGUCAGAAAUUUUCCUGUAAAAUCAUGAGUUCAGAAAAGUCGCUUCCUAAUCCGAGCCCAUGCGACCGCAGCAACCACGGCACCCCCCAAAUGAGCAGAUCCUGAGACUUGAUUGUCCCCCUGAAAUAAAUGACAGUUGAGACUCCAUGCAGAUUGGAUGACAUAUAAGGAGACAGCAGGGUAGAUGAUCAUUACCUUGAACCCAAGGAAAUAUUUCAAGGUUCACGUAAAUAUCCCUCGACUAUAUUCUCUUUGGCAUCCCUAAGUUCUCUAUUCUCCAUUCUCUAUGUCAAGAAUUUUUAAGCGAGAAAGUUAUUCCCGGUAAAAGUAUAUUAAGCAUACGGAAAACAAGACUAUUUUUGGGCGUGAUCAUAUGUGCAACCAAAAUGUGUUAGAACCAGUUAAAAUGUGGUGUUCAAUUGAGGACAGACAGCAGCAGAAAUAAUCAAGGAAACAUUUUUUUGAGAUUUUCUCGCAAAAAUCUUGUGCUUUUAAUGGAUAAAUUUCAAGGAAAAAAACUAAUCCUAUCCAAAAAGUAAAAGAUGUGGUGUUCUAUUACUUUUCCUAUAACAAGUCAAAGCGCCAAUUAUUUCAGUAUUUUUUUUCCUUCUUGGAAAACUCGGUUGAAUGGGGACCUUGUAAGUGAAACCUCCGCCGGAGGAAACAAUCAUGACAGUGGGCUUGGAAAGACAGUAGUUAAUUACGCUCAAGCUCCGCCAAAACGUCUGGUUUCAUUUGCCAUAUUGAUGAAUUACGCUCAAGGCUUACCACCGUGGUUUUCUAACAACUCAAACUAAAGGCAUACGUGGAAAAGGAACUACGAUCGCAGGUAGAUGAUCCUACCUCUAUAUUCGAGC